rnacentral:misc_RNA from 1 species
GGCAGAACGACUCCUCCCUUUUCCGUUAGCCCAAUCCGCUUUAUGAUCCCAGUUGGUGCUAAUCUUAUAUCGGGCUAAUUCAAUGUUCAACAAAUAGUUGAGCGAUGGAAGGACAGGACAAAGGAACUGAAUAUAACAAUACAAAGCGAGACCAAGAAGGGAUAUGACCAAAAAGGCCUUAUCACGAGCUGGAGUCGAACCAGCACCUCU